rnacentral:rRNA from 1 species
UACGGGGGGGGCAAGCGUUGUUCGGAAUUACUGGGCGUAAAGGGCUCGUAGGCGGCCAACUAAGUCCGACGUGAAAUCCCCAGGCUUAACCUGGGAACUGCGUCGGAUACUGGUUGGCUUGAGUCCGGGAGAGGGAUGCGGAAUUCCAGGUGUAGCGGUGAAAUGCGUAGAUAUCUGGAGGAACACCGGUGGCGAAGGCGGCAUCCUGGACCGGCAUUGACGCUGAACAGCGAAAGCCAGGGGAGCAAACGGG